rnacentral:tRNA from 1 species
GCCCAGGUGGCGGAAUUGGUAGACGCGCUGGCUUCAGGUGCCAGUGUUCGAAAGGACGUGGAGGUUCGAGUCCUCUCCUGGGCA